rnacentral:rRNA from 1 species
GACGGAGGAUGCAAGCGUUAUCCGGAAUGCUUGGGCGUAAAGCGUACGCAGGUGGCAGUUCAAGUCUGCUGUCAAAGACCGGGGCUUAACUUCGGAAAGGCAGUGGAAACUGAACAGCUAGAGUAUGGUAGGGGCAGAGGGAAUUCCUGGUGUAGCGGUGAAAUGCGUAGAGAUCAGGAAGAACACCGGUGGCGAAGGCGCUCUGCUAGGCCGCAACUGACACUGAGGGACGAAAGCUAGGGGAGCGAAAGGG